AAGACUAUACUUUCAGGGAUCAUUUCUAUAGUUUGUUACUAGAGAAGUUUUUCUGAACGUGUAGAGCACCGUGAAACCACAAGGAAGAAAUAUAGUGUUCUCUCCUGGGCGUGAAAACGGCUUUUUGGUGUUGCUUUUAUUGCAAGUACCAUUUGCCAUUGAUGAUCGUUCUUACUGUUCUAUUUGGAGGGUAAGAGGGAGAGAACGCGAUCUGAGUGGGU
ensembl:snoRNA